GACAGGGGUCUCGAGCGUUAAUCGGAAUCACUGGGCUUAAAGGGUGCGUAGGCGGGCCUGUAAGUGUCCUGUGAAAUCCCCCGGCUCAACCGGGGAACUGCGGGGCAUACUGCGGGUCUUGAGGAAGGUAGGCGCCGAGGGAACAGUAGGUGGAGCGGUGAAAUGCGUAGAUAUCUACUGGAACGCCGAUGGUGAAGACGCUCGGCUGGGCCUUUCCUGACGCUGAGGCGCGAAAGCCAGGGGAGCGAACGGG
rnacentral:rRNA from 1 species